rnacentral:lncRNA from 1 species
AAAAAAAAAAAAAAAAAAAAUAUAUAUAUAUAUAUAUAUAAUAAUUUUUUUUUUGAGAUGGAGUUUUGGCUCUUGUUGCUCAGGCUGGAGUGCAAUGGCAUGAUCUCGGCUCACUACAACCUCUGCCUCCCACGCACGUUCAAGCGAUUCUCAUGCCUCAGCCUCCCGAGUAGCUGGGACUACAGGCGUGCACCACUACUCCCGGCUAAUUUUUGUAUUUUUAGUAGAGACGGGGUUUCACCAUGUGGGCCAGGCUGGUCUCAAACUCCUGACCUCAGGUGAUCUGCCCACCUCAGCCUCCCAAAGUGCUGGGAUUACAGGCGUGAGCCACCAUGCCCAGCCUGUAAAUUAUAUUUUAUAAAGUAAUAAAUACUCAAUUUUUUUCCUAAUUAUUUUAUUCUAUUAUUACCUGUGCUUUUGUGGUUAUUUGCUGCUUUGUGUGUGUGUGCGUUGGGGAGUGUAUUAGUUCUUUUUCAUACUGCUAUUUUCAUACUGCUAUGAAGAAAUACCUGAGACUAGGUAAUUUGUAAAGAAAAAGAGAUUUAAUGGACUCACAGUUCCACAUGGCUGGGGAGGUCUCACAAUCAUGGUAGAAGGCGAAGGAGGAGCAAAGGCACAUUUUACAUGGUGGCAGGCGAGAGAGCCUGUGUAAGGGAACUGUCCUUUAUAAAACCUUCAGGUCUUGGGAGACUUAUUCACUAUCAUGAGAACAGCAUGGGGAAAACCUGCCCCUGUGAUUCAAUUACCUCCCACCACGUCCCUCCCAUGACAUGCAGGGAUUAUGGGAGCUACAAUUCAAGAUGAGAUUUGGGUGGGGACGCAGCCAAACCAUAUCAAGGGGUGUGAGUGUGGGUGUGGGUGUGUGUGUAAUGUACGUAGUGGUGUGCUACUGCAUAUCUCAACUCCAUUCAGUGAUGUCACAUUGGCAGCUUGAAAUUGGCCAGAGUGAGAGUAUUUAUAUCACAGAAAUUGGCAAACACUGCAAAUCAGAAUCUUUUCCCCUGAAGAGCCUGUUUACCAGCACACCACUGGGAAUCCAGCAAUGAGCAACUCAGUCCCUCCCUUUGAACUUACAUUUUGGUGUGAUGGCGCUCCAGGACUGAUCUUAGUGUCCUCAUUGCUGAGGGGCAGCUGCUGGGCAGGGCCUGCUUUGGUGAUAGAGGUUGUAAAUUGCCCUCAAAUCACAGGAGCUCUCCAUUCCAGCAAGUGAGUUGUUACCAUGCACCAGGAAGAGAGGAAAUGGGACAAGGAGGAAAUUCAGUUAAUUGAGAGCUGACUUUGCCAUUGAGUAACCCUAUUCAGGAUGACUCAGGCAUCUGGGAGGAAAAGCAGCAGUGGUGUCUGAGGACAGACCGUGGACAAAUUAAGUAGCUUGGGGCUUGUGGAGUUGUGAUGUCCAGGACAUGGGUGGCUAGAGCUGACAUAGGCAACAGUGGGCAUGACCUGUCCAUAUGGAUUCAGGACCUGCAUGAGAGAGUAGAGGCAUGAAUUAUUGAGAGUUCAGUCUGGCUCUGGUGUCAGGUGAAUCAAAAGUCUGCAGGGCUUGAAACAGAGUAGGGGAAGCAUUGAACCUUCCUCAAGUCAGGAGGCACAGCAUCAUCUGGGUGCCAGCAAAGGAAAUCUGACAAACCUCACCUGUCAGGGGCCUUGUGCUGUGUGGAUCACCCUGCUUCCCUAAAAAUCUUUGAGGUUUCUUGGUAGUUUCCUGCUGUCCCUGAAGCUUGCUGGUCUUCCAGCCCCUGCAUCUGUGGCUGGUGGAUUCUCAAAAAAAAUCCAUGUUAAUAUCAAGCACAAAACUUAAUUGGGAAGAGGGGUCUCCUGUUCUCCCCCCAUUGCUAAUUGAUACCAGAAAAGCUGCUUCUGUCCUUCAUUUAGGCAGAUAAUUGAGAACUUGUUUGCUUAAAGGCAACUGAUUUUGACUUUAUGCCUAUAGGUGCCAGAUAUUUUUCAUGCAUCAAUUCAUUUAAUUUCCAUGCCGAUCCUGCAAGUACGUCCUAUUUUCCGAUCUUAUCGAUGAGGAAAUUGAGUCUCAGAGACUUAUCCAAGGGCACUGUGUUUGUAAGUGGCAGGAUUUGAACCCGGCAGGCCCUGAGAUCUUUCUGCAGUCCCGUGCUCCCCUCCUUUAUGCGGUUUUCCUUUUCCCUUUGAGGAGGGGAGGGAGAGAUUCAUCACAUGCCUGGAAUCUCAGCACACUUUGCCUUUCUUAGUUCGGAGUUAAUGUAUGUUUUUUUAAUUCAGUGUUGGCAAGGCCCAGUCUGGUCAUAGCUGGGUUUGUUACCUUGUGGCUCAGGGGCAAGGAUGAGAAUAGAAUUCUGGUACCCACACGGGCUCCCUAGGCCUGGUGUCAGGAAAGAGCUAAUACUAAUGGCUCAUAAUUGCAGAGUGGCAGGCACCUUGGUAGUGCAUGGCUCGUGGGAGCUUUCUCAGUUCUCAGCUACUCCAAGAGGUGGGGUGCAUCAUUAUCUCUGUUUUGCCUCCAUUGAACUUGCCCAGGGUUGAGCAACCAAGAGUUAGAAGCACCACAUUCUGCUCGCCCCGGAGUCCUGCCUCUCCACUCUUGUGUCUUUCCUUGAGCAGCGCCAACCCUCCCAGGGCCUGGCCCGGCUGUGCCUUUGACAGCCCCUAGCAGCAGUGCCCAUAUGCUAUGGAAAAUGGGGAAGGAUAAUUGACCACUUGGCCACAGGCCCAGGGUCUGCCCACCUCUUGGUUAGAGCCAGCACUGAGCUCCCUGCCAUGGGGUUCAUCUUCCCACUGGCCUGUUGGUUGAGAGGAUGGUCUCAGACCAGGCCCCAACACCACCUUCUUGCAGAUACAUCCCCAGUCCAGGGCAGUGCAGGUGGUUUGUGAUGGUGCCAGCCCAUGUUGGCAUGUUGGGCCCAAGAUGAGGUGGCAUUUCUGAGUUUUGGAACCCCUCUUUCUCCUUGAGAGCCUGGCCCCAGAGUGCCCUCCUCUCUGUAAAAGUCCUGGUUCUAGUCGCUGGCUGAUUGGUAUGCAUCCCAGAAUCCCGGCCAUUAGCAUACAAGGCGGGAGCCAGCUCUCAUUACUCCCCUCUCUUCAUUGUUUGAAGUGGGCAGACUUGGAGUGAGCUUUGGAAAUGUGGGCUUUUUAUUCAAUUUCCCUAGAAAAACAAUGGUUAAAUUAAGUAGGAAAAUAACAGUCUCCCGAAAUUGAAGAAAAAUAUUCCUGAACCUAGACAUUACCCACAACCUUUGAAUUUCUUUUAAAACAGGCAUUUGUUUUACUUUAAGUUAUACAUGUAUCGCAUGACCACUGAAG